rnacentral:rRNA from 1 species
ACGAAGGGUGCAAGCGUUACUCGGAAUUACUGGGCGUAAAGCGUGCGUAGGUGGUUUGUUAAGUCUGAUGUGAAAGCCCUGGGCUCAACCUGGGAAUUGCAUUGGAUACUGGCAGGCUAGAGUGCGGUAGAGGAUGGCGGAAUUCCCAGUGUAGAGGUGAAAUUCGUAGAUAUUGGGAAGAACACCGGUGGCGAAGGCGGCGCUCUGGACCGAGACUGACGCUGAGGCGCGAAAGCGUGGGGAGCAAACAGGA